rnacentral:antisense_RNA from 1 species
CUUGAUCGACCCGAGCAGCAGCGGCCGGUCGCCGGGACGGUCACGCCCGUAGGUCGCGAGGAGCGCCUGCGCCUC